GAUUAACGCUAGCGGCAGGCAUAAUACAUGCAAGUUGAACGGCAGCACAGGUAGCAAUACUGGGUGGCGAGUGGCGCACGGGUGCGUAACACGUAUGCAACCUACCCUAUACAGGCGAAUAACCUUUAGAAAUGAGGGCUAAUACGCCGUAGUAUUACAGAUGGGCAUCUAUUUGUAAUUAAAGAUUUAUCGGUAUAGGAUGGGCAUGCGUCCCAUUAGUUAGUUGGUAAGGUAACGGCUUACCAAGACGAUGAUGGGUAGGGGAUCUGAGAGGACUUACCCCCACACUGGUACUGAGACACGGACCAGACUCCUACGGGAGGCAGCAGUAAGGAAUAUUGGGCAAUGGCCGCGAGGCUGACCCAGCCAUGCCGCGUGCAGGAAGACGGCCUUAUGGGUUGUAAACUGCUUUUAUACGGGAAUAAUAGAGUGUACGCGUACAUUUAUGCAAGUAUCGUAUGAAUAAGCAUCGGCUAACUCCGCG
rnacentral:rRNA from 1 species